UACGUAGGGACCGAGCGUUGUCCGGAAUCAUUGGGCGUAAAGAGCGUGUAGGCGGCCACUUAAGUCCUGCGUGAAAUCUUGCGGCUCAACCGCAAGCGGUCGUGGGAAACUGGGUGGCUAGAGUGCGGGAGAGGAGAGUGGAAUUCCUGGUGUAGCGGUGGAAUGCGCAGAUAUCAGGAAGAACACCGGUGGCGAAGGCGGCCUGCUGGGCAGUUUUGCUGACACUGAGGCGCGACAGCGUGGGGAGCAAACAGG
rnacentral:rRNA from 1 species